rnacentral:misc_RNA from 1 species
GAUGAAGAACGUAGCGAAAUGCGAUAAGUAAUGUGAAUUGCAGAAUUCAGUGAAUCAUCGAAUCUUUGAACGCACCUUGCGCUCCUUGGUAUUCCUUGGAGCAUGCCUGUUUGAGUAUCAUGAAAUUCUCAAAGUAAAUCUUUUUGUUAAUUCAAUUAGGUUCACUUUGGAUUUGGAGGUUUUUUGCAGCUUCACACCUGCUCCUCUUUGUGCAUUAGCUGGAUCUCAGUGUUAUGCUUGGUUCCACUCGGCGUGAUAAGUUAUCUAUCGCUGAGGACACUUUUUUUUUGUUUUUUUUCUAAAAAUAAAUAAAUAACUAAGUGGCCAAGGGAAAUGCAGAUGAACCGCUUCCAAUAGUCCAUUAGCUUGGACAAAUAUAUUUUUAUGAUCUGAUCUCAAAUCAGGUAGGACUACCCGCUGAACUUAAGCAUAUUAAUAAGCGGAGGA